rnacentral:rRNA from 1 species
CCUACGGGUGGCAGCAGUGAGGAAUAUUGGUCAAUGGGCGCAAGCCUGAACCAGCCAAGUAGCGUGCAGGAUGACGGCCCUACGGGUUGUAAACUGCUUUUAUACGGGAAUAACGCGCCUUACGUGUAGGGCUUUGCAUGUACCGUAUGAAUAAGGACCGGCUAAUUCCGUGCCAGCAGCCGCGGUAAUACGGAAGAUCCGGGCGUUAUCCGGGUUUAUUGGGGUUAAAGGGAGCGUAGGCGGCAUAUCAAGAGUGAUGUAAAAUGCCCGGGCUCAACCCGGGGCUUGCAGGGCGAACUGGCGUGCUUGAGUACGUGAGAGGCAGGCGGAAUUCGUAGUGUAGGGGUGAAAUGCGUAGAUAUGACGAAGAACACCGAUAGCGAAGGCAGGUUGCUG